AUUUAUGCAGUCGUCCCACUGAACUGGAGCAGGGAAGAAACCUGCCUGGAUGAUUCAGGCUCACAUACACAAUCAUCUCCAAAUAUGCUUCCCUUCUGUCAAAUGCCAUCUCCUAAAUAUCACCAGAGCAACCUGCGGAGAAGGCAAGGCUGAGUUGAUUGUUCACCGUGGUAAGAUAAUGCUGAAAUUAACAUCUUUGGAUAUACAAUUCUCUGCUUCUGAAGAAUGAAAAGAUAAAUAACAGAGCUAAGAAAGGGACUGAUGAAACUUACAACAGCAGGUCUCAAAUUUUUGGUCUCAGGACCCCUUUAUGCUCUUAAAAAUGAUUGACAGCCUCCAAGAGCUUUUGUUCAUGCUUUGGUAAGGCUGUGAGAGCACAGAGCUGAAUUAGGGAUCUUGGACUUCAAGUUACUGACUAGCCCCAGCACUCGCCAAGCUCACAAAGAAGACAGAAACGAGCUUCUCUCCUGAAGCCAGGGAGACCACUAACCCACCAGCAGGAAAGAACAACUCCGGACCCGCCGCCUUAAGAGCUGUUAACACUCACCGCGAAGGUCUGCAGCUUCACUCCUGAGCCAACGAGACCAUG
rnacentral:lncRNA from 1 species